rnacentral:rRNA from 1 species
CCUACGGGGGGCAGCAGUGAGGAAUAUUGGUCAAUGGCCGGAAGGCUGAACCAGCCAUGCCGCGUGAAGGUCAGUGCCCUAUGGGCGUUAAACUUCUUUUGUGCGGGAGCAAUAAUGAUCCCGUGUGGCCAGACGAGAGUACCGUACGAAUAAGCAUCGGCUAACUCCGGGCCAGCAGCCGCGGUAAUACGGGGGAUGCAAGCGUUAUCCGGAUUUAUUGGGUUUAAAGGGUGCGUAGGCUGUGAGGUAAGUCAGCGGUGAAAUGCCCCCGCUCAACGGGGUGAAGUGCCAUUGAUACUGCCGUGCUGGAAUGCGGAUGCCGUGGGAGGAAUGUGUGGGGUAGCGGUGAAAUGCAUAGAUAUCACACAGAACACCGAUUGCGAAGGCAUCUCACGAAUCCGCGAUUGACGCGGAUGCACGAAAGCGUGGGUAUCAAACAGGAUUAGAUACCCCGGUAGU